ACCCUGCUAGCUCAAUUGGCAGAGCGUGAGACUCUUUUAAAAGCGUAGCUAUCUCAGGGUUCGAGACCCCCGUGGGGUG